rnacentral:rRNA from 1 species
CCUACGGGGUGCAGCAGUGAGGAAUAUUGGUCAAUGGACGAGAGUCUGAACCAGCCAAGUAGCGUGAAGGAUGACUGCCCUAUGGGUUGUAAACUUCUUUUAUAUGGGAAUAAAAUGUUCCACGUGUGGGAUUUUGUAUGUACCAUAUGAAUAAGGAUCGGCUAACUCCGUGCCAGCAGCCGCGGUAAUACGGAGGAUCCGAGCGUUAUCCGGAUUUAUUGGGUUUAAAGGGAGCGUAGGUGGAUUGUUAAGUCAGUUGUGAAAGUUUGCGGCUCAACCGUAAAAUUGCAGUUGAAACUGGCAGUCUUGAGUACAGUAGAGGUGGGCGGAAUUCGUGGUGUAGCGGUGAAAUGCUUAGAUAUCACGAAGAACUCCGAUUGUGAAGGCAGUUCACUGGACUGCAACUGACACUGAGGCUCGAAAGUGUGGGUAUCAAACAGGAUUAGAUACCCCUGUAGUC